rnacentral:lncRNA from 1 species
GCGCUAUGCAGAUACAAAUAAUAAAAAACAGCAGUCGCACCAUUGGAAGACAUAGCUUGGACUGUAGCCUUCAAAAUCCCAUUCCUGCUCUUUUCCCGCGAUUCAUCAAACACAUUUAGUGUGUCUGACUUGUGGUCAGACUCGCUCAAGUGGAACAAAUUUAAAUGUGUGCCUUUGUGUCAAAGAUUACAUGUAAUCCGUUACUCCCCAACCCCGGAUUCCUGACAACGCCUAGUAUAUUGAGAUUGCGUCACCUGUGGAUCUGUUGGGGCGGGAUGCGAACUGGAGUGGGUGUAGGGUUUCGGGAAUGAUGGUGUUGAUGUGAGCCAUGACCAGCCUUUCAACGCACUUCAUGGCUACCGACGCCCCUAUGCUGUUGGAGAACAGAUGCUGGAAGAGUGUGGGACUGCUGCACCAAUCCUCAAAGACCCGGACACUCCAAGCCCCUCAUAAUGCUGGAUGUCAGUGGUGGACCCUGUGUAGAGUAUAAUGUCCUGGACAAAUCCUGUCUUCGUGUCACACAUAACAAAGCACUUGACCCCUAACCUGUGCCUUUUGGAGGGAAUAUAUUGAUGGAAAGCCAUCCUACCCUUCCAUAACAUCAGGGACUGACGAACUAACACAGCAGGUUAAGUGAAUUAAAGUAGCAGGUUAGGAGAAUAAGUUUAAGGUUAGGAAAAGGGUUAGGCUUAGCUAUACUACUACAAUUGGCAACAACAGUCCUGAUGCGACCACUAGAUAAAGCAGAUUUUUGUGUGUAAUAUUUUAUUAUAUUUUUCAAAAUAUUAACAAACACAGACAAAAGACAACAGACAGAGACACACACAAACAUCAACGACAUCACCCCUGCCCAGACCCACAUGCUUCCACCGCCUUUUUCUCCAGCGCCUGCAAGACUAUUCCACAUGACCUCAAACUGCGCCACUCUGCACUUCUCUGUCGCCCACACACUUUCAAUAUUUGAUUCUUCCUCCGGCCCCUUGAUUUUCAGUUUUUAAGCAAAAGGUUUUUUUGGUUUUUUUUAAUAAUUGACGAGAAUAGUACGGUCCAACCGAUUGGAAAUCUCACCAUACCCGCGGUGUCUUGAAAUAUACAGAUAGACGGAUUAAAAGUAUAUUUAUAUUGUAAAACUUCUGACAGCCAACUUUCUAACUUUUGGACUAUAGCACUCUCAGGAGGCAUGAAUAAUUGAGUCACCACUGUUAGUUUUACACUUAAGACAUAUGUCUCUGCAAUUGUGCUGCAGAAUUUGUAAAUUUGGACUGUAUAAUAAAUAUAUACAUUAGUUUAUAUUGGAUAAAGUGUACGUUUUCGUUAACUGUAAUUUUGUUAGUUAUGUUCCAAUAGUCCCUCCAUCUUGUGCCAAUAUCAGUUAUUGUUAGGUCUUGGUUCCAAUAGUUUAUAUUUUUUGGAUAGGCUUUCUUCAAGGUUUUGUAU